UCUACAUCUGUGCUAGGCCUUCCAUUAU
rnacentral:piRNA from 1 species